rnacentral:misc_RNA from 1 species
AACUCUCAACCCCGUUACCUUUGUUUAUCUUGGGCAUUGGGGCUUGGAUCAUGAGUGCCUGCUGGACCUGUGCAUCAGCUCACUCUAAAUGUAUCAGUGGUCUGCUUUCUCUGCCUCUGCAGAUAGAUCUGGCGUAAUAGGUUUUAUUCGCUGGGACUUCUGUGGGGAACAGCAGGGUGUUGCUUACCAUUCACAAACAACUCUAAGU